GGCCCUUCGGGGUACUCGAGCGGCGAACGGGUGAGUAACACGUGAGCAACCUGCCCUAGGCUUUGGGAUAACCCUCGGAAACGGGGGCUAAUACCGAAUAUUACCUCYUGUCGCAUGGUGGGGGGUGGAAAGUUUUUCGGCCUGGGAUGGGCUCGCGGCCUAUCAGCUUGUUGGUGGGGUGAUGGCCUACCAAGGCGACGACGGGUAGCCGGCCUGAGAGGGCGACCGGCCACACUGGGACUGAGACACGGCCCAGACUCYUACGGGAGGCAGCAGUGGGGAAUAUUGCACAAUGGGCGGAAGCCUGAUGCAGCGACGCCGCGUGAGGGAUGACGGCCUUCGGGUUGUAAACCUCUUUCAGCAGGGACGAAGCGUAAGUGACGGUACCUGCAGAAGAAGCACCGGCCAACUACGUGCCAGCAGCCGCGGUAAGACGUAGGGUGCGAGCGUUGUCCGGAUUUAUUGGGCGUAAAGAGCUCGUAGGCGGCUUGUCGCGUCGACCGUGAAAACUUGGGGCUCAACCCCAAGCCUGCGGUCGAUACGGGCAGGCUAGAGUUCGGUAGGGGAGACUGGAAUUCCUGGUGUAGCGGUGAAAUGCGCAGAUAUCAGGAGGAACACCGGUGGCGAAGGCGGGUCUCUGGGCCGAUACUGACGCUGAGGAGCGAAAGCGUGGGGAGCGAACAGGAUUAGAUACCCUGGUAGUCCACGCUGUAAACGUUGGGCGCUAGGUGUGGGGGGCCUCUCCGGUUCUCUGUGCCGCAGCUAACGCAUUAAGCGCCCCGCCUGGGGAGUACGGCCGCAAGSYUAAAACUCAARGRAAUUGACGGGGGCCCGCACAAGCGGCGGAGCAUGCGGAUUAAUUCGAUGCAACGCGAAGAACYUWACCUGGGUUKRACAUGGCCGCAAAACUUGCAGAGAUGUARGGUCCUUCGGGGGCGGUCACAGGUGGUGCAUGGCUGUCKUCAGCUCGUGUCGUGAGAUGUUGGKUUAAGUCCCGCAACGAGCGCAACCCUCGUUCGAUGUUGCCAGCGCGUUAUGGCGGGRACYYAUCGAAGACUGCCGGGKYCAACUCGGAGRARGGUGGGGAUGACGUCAAGUCAUCAUGCCCCUUAUGUCCAGGGCUUCACGCAUGCUACAAUGGCCGGUACAAUGGGUUGCGAUACCGUGAGGUGGAGCGAAUCCCAAAAAGCCGGUCUCAGUUCGGAUCGGGGUCUGCAACUCGACCCCGUGAAGUCGGAGUCGCUAGUAAUCGCAGAUCAGCAACGCUGCGGUGAAUACGUUCCCGGGCCUUGUACACACCGCCCGUCACGUCACGAAAGUCGGCAACACCCGAAGCCGGUGGCCCAA
rnacentral:rRNA from 1 species